UACGUAGGGUGCGAGCGUUGUCCGGAAUUAUUGGGCGUAAAGAGCUCGUAGGCGGUCUGUCGCGUCGAAUGUGAAAACCCGGGGCUCAACUCCGGGCUUGCAUUCGAUACGGGCAGGCUAGAGUUCGGUAGGGGAGUCUGGAGUUCCUGGUGUAGCGGUGAAAUGCGCAGAUAUCAGGAGGAACACCGGUGGCGAAGGCGGGACUCUGGGCCGAUACUGACGCUGAGGAGCGAAAGCGUGGGGAGCGAACAGG
rnacentral:rRNA from 1 species